CGACGGCGGCGCGACGCAGGAAGAGAGACGAUGCGCCAUCGAGGGUGAACGCACCCACGACCUAUUCGGUAUCACCGGCGAAAAAGAGGGAUGAGAGUGAUAUCGAGUGGCGGAGAGAUAAACGAGAUCUCGUCUUCAGGAGUCGUACCCAGAAAAUCCGUUAAUCCCUCCGAUAAAACAUUGUCGUCCAUCGAUCGAAAGAAGGAUCGACGACCGGCUGCGAAAUCAUUCUCAAACUUUCGCUCGUUGAACCUGUUGGUAAAGAAAGAAUUAUACGUUCUAUCUUCGAAGCUGUCUCCGAUCGAAAUUGCAUGGGAAAUCGCAGAUGCGACCUUCUAUUCGAAUCGAGAGGGACACGGUAUUUGAUUAAAAUAGGCACGACAUUUUACGAAACAACGACCGUCGUUGAGGGAUUAUUUCGGGCCGUUCUCUGUUCUUCUUGCGGCAAGGAAAUUGCGGAUUGAUUUAUGGAAGCGUCGCGCGCGUUCGCGUUCGUCACGCCGUUUGAAAUAGCCGGGUGGAUGGUAGCGAAACACGUCGAGCGGGGCGUUUGCGCGACGCGUUAUCUCAAAGAAGCGGACAAAUUUCUCGCGUAGCGUCGAGCUGUCGCGAUGCGCAUCGAUUUAUUUCCGUGAACCGUCGGCUAAUUCACGUGGCCGCGCCGUCAGUAAUUUACAGCACGCCGUGGAGAAGCAUACGGCGCUUUUCGGCUAUUAUUAGAGUGACGGUAUACGCGCGCGCAUGACUGUAACAGUUUCGCGAUGUCCACGCGGAAUUCGCGCGGAAAGACAAGAGUCCAGUAGUCUGCGCCUAUUUCGAGAGCAUCUCACGUAGACAAUAAUAAACUCCCCGUUGAUUCUUAUGUACACUGUUUUCAUCGGCAUUCUUGUUACGGCAAACAGCAUUGUCAUUUUACGACAUCGAAUGUUGCUAAUAAAGGAGACUCCUCUUCGACUACGAAUCGGCUAUAAGCGACACUCGUAAUAUAGAAUAUUACGUCUCUUUCGCCGAUCGGCGAAAGUUGAACAAGCAACAGCGGCAAUAACUACAUGUGCGUUGGUGGUGUUAUUCUCUUACAUUACUCGUUACGUAAGAAAAUAUAAUUUAUAUUGUCAAGUAGAUAUACUCUUCGAAAUUUUUCACGUCACACUCAAUUUGCUUUAGAUCUAGUAAUUAAGCCAGAAUUUGUCCCUCUUUUUAUUUGCAAUAUUGAUAAACAACGCAUAGUUCAUAAAGAAAAAAUGAUCUGUCUAGCACCGAUAUGCUUUGAAUUAGCUGCCCAUUCAGGAAAUAGCUAUUGAGUGAGAACAAGGAAAUAUACAGACCGUGACAAAGGAACGCGCGGAGAGACGGAUAUUUAUGGUUAUCAGCGAGCGCGUAAAAUAGACGAGCCUGCGGAACAAUAGUCCUGGCUGGCGUCCAAACGUAUCUCCGGCGUUCCCGGCCGGUCUCAGUGCGCGGUGUAGGAAGAAACAGUCGGAAUUUGAUAAUACGCAGCGAGGCGAAGAUAGCGAAAUGAGUUUCUAAAUUUGCGACGCGGCAAAACCGCGACUGCGGCCGCUAUAAAUAAGCAGCCCCCGAUCCACCCCUCUAUCGGGACGCUACCCGUACUCCAGAAAUAAGUCCGAGUCCACGCUUAAUCCGCAAGACUAAUUUACACGUGGCCCUUCCUGAUUCAGCCUCGGGCUCACGCUGACCUUGCGACCAUCGCAAAUCGCCGAACAGGUGAUCAGGUCUCAGAUCUCUGAGUGAUCCCUUGACCUUUUCCUAACUGUUUGGUAGCUCGAUAAUAACUUUCAAUUAUUCUAUUUCUUGUAAGCGUUUCAUUUUAAUUUAUCUCAUAAUUAAUUUCACUUCAUAAACUUGCAAUCUGACAAAAAACAGUUAUAUAUAUUUUAAAAAGCACUGUUGCAUUAAAUUUACUUGUGUUUUAAGAGUUUUGUACAACACUAGUUAAAAGUUGUUGAAAUUUAAAAACUGCGAGUUUUUAGAUUUUUUAUUUUUAUUUUCUUAAUUAAGAAGAAAAAAAAUUUGAUCGUGAAUACCUGAAUUUUGGCUCUAAAAUCAGUUCCAAAAAACAAAACAACGAAAAAUUUAGUUUAUAAUUACUUAUACAGCGUAAAUGGCUAUAUUUUGCUGCAGUUUUAAACAAAUAAUUUGUAAACGAGUAAGAGGAUUCAAAUUUAAACGUUUGGAAAUAUUUAUUAGAAUUUCAUUAUUAUAUAUAAAAAAUUUGAUUUAAUUCAUAAUGUUACUCGUCAAAUAUACAAAUAAAUAUUAUAAAACACGAUUUUACGUAAGAAUCAAGAGCAAACAAAAAAUUAAAUAACUUUUAAAGUAAUAAGAAAAUUGCUCAAAUUUUAAAUAAAUUUAAUUGUUGUUAGUAAUCUAAUUAUUAUGUUGCAUUGAACAUAAUCUAUAAAAUGUUUAUAUUUUUGGUAGUGUUUCGAUUUGUGAUACAUACAUUCUUAAAUUAAUUAUAAUAAGUGCAAAAUAGUUUUUUUUUUAACAAUUUACGAAUCAAAGGUUACAAACAUUUUUGUAAUGUUUUCUCUUUGGAGCUCAUACACGUUAUAUAUUGCGCAUGAUAGGCACUUUUCCUAUCAGAUGAGCAAGAGGAUGCAGCCGGUAGUUAGCACGCGUCUCAUGACAGCCGUGCCGGUUGGUAGAUAGUCAGUUGGGUCAUGAUACCGCAGUACAGGCGGCUUAAUAGGUUAACAGCUACCUCCAAUUGGUCGAUGACGCUGCUACUACCAUGACGUCACGGGGAGUGCAAUGCCCUUGUGACGUGGAAUCGUGCAGUGCAGGCCAAGCAGUGCACAGAAAUAACGCGCGGUCUCUUUCUCUCUUUCCCAAUUUUACCCCCUCUAGUUUGUUUCUCCUCCUCGUUCACCUUCUCUCCUCUCGUAUUUCUCUCUUUUUAUCUCUGUCUCUUUCUCACUUUAGCUUUCACUCUCUUCCUCAUAUUCGUUCCCUUUUCAAAUUGUGCUUUCGCGCGAGCUCGAGUACACUUGCUAGAAACCGCGUGAUCAGCGGUUCUACCAGGAUUAUCAUAAGAGGUAGAUGAAAUUCGGUAGUCAGUAGAUAUCCCAGCAACACACACACACUCUCUCUCUCUCAUUAAUCGAUCCUAAUUUCACACUGAAACCUCACGCAUUUUGCCGAGAUAUUUCUGUCUACCUGUGGCCAGGGUUAGAACUUAGGCAAUCUAAUCAUAUCCUAGGAAUGUAACAAUUUUAGAGCACAAGCCUCGGGGGUCGGAUAUAAUGUAAAUGUUGAGUAUGAUUCCGCUUGACCUGCAUUCGCACCAAAACGCUCAUAUUAAAUGCAUUGAUGUAACAGAAUAGCGUCGUAAACGACGAAAUGUGGCCAUUGACUUUAAUGUAUUUGUGAUAGAUUAGAUCCAGAUACGUUGCUAAUAGUCGAGCAAUUUCUAUAGUACGUAUACUUAUGUAUUCGAGGACACAUUUAUAAAUAUUUAUUUCUAUUCAACAAUUUUGGUAUUUCCAAUGUAUUGCAGUGAGGAAGGUAAAGUUCAAUUGCAAGUAAAUAAACAAUGUCGAAGAAGAAGAUCGUUUGUUCGCUUCAUAAAAUUAUUAAUGCGACUCUUAGUCGUUCGUUCUCUUGAGGAUCGAGAUGAGAAUAGAAUGAACCGUCUAGUGAACAAACAAAUAUCGUAUUAAACUUCCGUCUCUUGUUGACGAACUUAUUCCUGCGAGAUGGGAAUACAUUAUUUAGAUUCUCAUCAUUGGUUUAUCAUUUAAAUUCUCUGUUUUCUCGUUACCUUCGACCUUACGGAGAGUUGUAUUUUGUUAGUAACAUUGUUAACUACUUUUCAGAAUAUUUUGGAAGUAGCGAACGAUGGUAAUGCUAUUGGUAUAAGACUAAUUUCUCUGGUGCUUUUGGAAAGGUUCGCGUGUGGCCUCUUUUCACUCGGAUGAAAGGUAGACGUCCGUUCAGAAAUAACGUCUUUAGGCGAUUGUCAACGCACGAACGAGCUCCUUCCUAGACACGAAUUAGCAAUAUCUAGCGGGAACAGUAAUUUCCCGCUUAUGAAAGACGGGGAGUAGUUAGAACACAAUGAUGGAACUAAAUUGCAACAUUUCGGGGCUGACGAAGGUGACACAGUAGGAAAUAUGAGUUCGAUAUUUUCCCGGCUAACUUUUGCAGCUGCUCAUGAAAUAUUCAAGUAUUAUCGGAUGCUCAAUUCCCGAUCGGAUAAUAUUACAAGUUGAAUAAUAAUAAAUGAGGCUCUUAAUAUUUUAAAAUAUAUGUUUCAUAUAUGUUACGUUGAAUAGAUUAUUAAUAUACGAAGAAAUAUACACGAAGCAUUAGACCUAUUUCGUCUAUUAAUAACAUGUAUCAAGUGUGGACUUUUCUGCGAGUUUUGAAUGGUGACGUAGAUAUAUCUUCAGUAAACAUCAUUCAGCGUAAUCGGACAAUAAUACAAAGUCAUUUUCGCUUCGAAUGGAGCGAUAAAAGUGUUAAGCGAUACUCGAGCCAUAGCAGAAAGCGAGCUAUGUAUUUUAAAUUUAUUCCCUUGUGAGUGGUAAAAUAUAUUUCUUUCGUAUCGCUUGAUCUGAAUUAAAGAGAAAUGCGUAUUGAAUUUUUCAGGUAGACGAAAUUAAAGAGAAUGUGAAAGAAAGGUCGCGAACGAGAUUUCGAGAGGUUCUUUUUUGAUAGUCCAAUACAAAAAAAAUUUACGGAAUGAUGUCGGAAUUUUGUCAACGAAGAUCGCGCGGAUUUCGAUGAAGCUUGCUUCCUUAGUAGUUCUCGUCUGAUUCUAUCACAAGGACAACGUGAAAGCUCGAUUUUAAGAAAAAUUUAUUCUAACGCUCGUUUCCCUAAAAAUACCACGAAUAACGAGGUCCGAGAAGCUGGGACUUUCUGCCGAGGUCGAGUCGCGAUAUUUUCGAGACGGCCGAAGUAGAAUAUUAAUUAGACGUUUCACUAAAUGUUAAAAAUAUAAAAGAAAUAGCCUUGACCUUCUCACCAAAUACGUUAAUGUAUAAAUAUAGAAGGUCUGUGAGUGCUGAGAAAAACUAGAAUGUCAGGAAGCCAAAUAGAAUUAGAAUUGGCUUACAAAAGCGAAAGAGAAUGUAAAUGGUUUAUUUUGAUUAUUCCCCAUGUGCGAUACAUUAUAUACGUUUUACUCCUAUUAUAAUCAUACAAUGAGAGAAAGAGAUGGUUGUAACUGUAAUUCAUAGUCAUUUACGGUGCCAUAUAUAUUUAUAACUGCAAAUUAUACGUAUUAAUUAUUAAUACUGCGCAAAUAGCAAGCACAUAUUUAAAAAAUAGUUAUAUUCUCUAUAAAAUUGUGCUUACAUUUAUUAUAUGAAAAUAUUUUUUUAUUCAUAUCUUGAUAUGGAUUUUUUAUUAACUUUUUAUAUUUUGAUAUAGAUUUUAUUCAUAUUUAAAAUUAUCAUAAUUUAUAAUAGUUAAAAUUUUUUCAUAGUCGAUAGAAUCACAAGGGUAUUAUUUCUAACUUUACUAGUAAUAAUAAAACUAUAAAAAUGGAGCUUUUGUAAUUAUAUUUCUUUAUGUAAUUAUAGUCAUAAAUACCAAACAAUUUUUGUUCAGUGUAAAGUGAAAGAAUUACGUGGUUUAAACAAUCUGAUCUAGAAGAUCUGAUCGAGAAGAAACUUGGAGAUUAAAUAAUAAAUUAAGUUAUUGACUCUUCUCUCUUUGAAAUGUCAUUAGAAUUCGCUAAGCGGAAUUGCACGUAAAAAAGAUCUAAUUUUAAAAUAAUGCCAAGAUAUCGCUAGAUGAGUAUAACGUUAAUUAUAAGAGUAAAUGAAUUGAACCUACAAUUUUGCGGGAAUCACUUCUUGUUCCUCUUCCGGAUUCUCUGCGUCGCAGCUCAUCUCUCGCCGAAUACCUCUCCCUUAUUCGCGCCAAUUCUCGGCGGAAUUCAGCGAAGCCUCGCAUGAACAGGUCGGAAAUCGAUUUUACGGAAGUAGCAGAAUCUCUAUAGCGAUCUGAGGAUGUAUGAGUCUCUUGUUGGGAACGCGAUCAAGUUUACGGCUCUCUCUCUCUCUCUCUCUCUCUCUCCCCUCUCUUUCUUCUCUCUCUCUCUCCUCUCCCUCCCCCUCUCUCUCUCUCUCUCUCGCUUCUCUUUCUCACUCACUCACUCACUCUCUCUGUCUCUCUCUCUGUUUGCCAGCUUGAUAUAAAAGAUUCACAAGUGGAUCCUGUGCUAUUCGCAUCGCGUUAUUCCCUUGAGAUGCAGAAAUUGCGCGACAUGCGUGAAAAUUCAACAGGUAAUAUCCACACUGUGGAAGAAUCUUUAUCGAUCGCAGCAGUGGCAUGCAAUAUGCGGCCCAACAGGCAAUCUUGUUUUAGGUAGAAACUGUUUAAUGUCCCUAAUUAUAAAAUUACAUUUUUUUACAAUAGUUCUAUAUAGAAAAAAAUAUGUAUUAAAUUAAAACUAAAACAUUCUAUUUAACGCAAUCAUUGUUCCACAUAUACUCGUAUGCAAGAAGAUAAAAUUUUUUUAAAGAAUUAGAUAAAUUUAAAAUUUUAGUAAUGUUGUACUCUUAAAACUCUAAUUCUUAGUUUAAAGAUAUUUCUUAUCAAAUAUUUUUUUCUUUUAAUUUAUAAAAAUUAUUAUUAAUUAAUUUUUUUUAAAUAAAAUUACACAAAAUUUCUUUAUGUGAGCAAAUUAUGUCUGGUUAACGUCUAUUUUUGUCUGUUUCUAUAAUCUGAUUCCAAUACUUAUAUUUUGAAAACAGUGGUAUUCUCAAGAGAAUAUUAUUUUUUUCUAUGUAGUUGCAAUUUUAAAGAUAUUGAGUUCAGAUUUCAAUGCAAAAUCAACAAUAGCUCAGAUAACAACGCUGCAAUAGUUACGAAAAGACGAAGAGUUAAAAUUUUACAGUUUGCGUUACAGAUCAGCAUUUGGUUCGUGACAUGCGAAUUUUAUCCCACGGUGACUCUCUGAUAUCGGAAACUGUUCGCGAAACAGAAUUUAUUCACCAAACAAGUCAGAUAACACAGCACCCGCGAAAUUGCGCAUUCAUGUGAUCAAUAACAUUGGCGUCUUUUGAUAGAACAUGGUUUCUCAAAUAAUGACGAUGAAAUUUAGGGCGCGUAAAAUAAUAUAAUUUUCUAUUCAAUUGUCCGUAAAAUUUCUCGAAAAGAAAUAAAAAUUGUGACGCUGGAAUAAAAUCUCAUGCUACCUUUUUAUUUUAGUAAUUAAUAUCGUCAAUUUGCAAUAAUUACAUUCUCGAUUUUACAUUGAAUACUAAUUAAUUUCUUAACGAAACUUUAUAAUAUGGCUUUUCGCAAUUCAUGAACAGUUGAGCGUGUUAAAAUUAUCGUGUUCGAGCACCCUUUUUUUUGUUUGCUAUUGCUAAUGACAUUAGCGAACGAAAAGUUGCGUAAAUUCAUUACUUAUAUACUCGCAUCACAAUGACAAUUAGGAUGAUUUCCUCAUCGUUCUGUCAUUUUCGCAAUUUGCGUCUUACGUAACUUAGUGUGGAUUUUUCAGUAAUUCAUAACUAAUGAAGCUCAUUACUAUAGAACUCGAUCACCGCAAUUCCAAUCGCUACACUGCUGCAGCGUUCGGUUGCACCGAUUUGCUCUAGCAUAGGAUCCACUGUUUCAUGCGAACGAAAUUACACGAAUUUUCUCUCGACGCACCGAAAGCUGCAAAGCUCGAUCAAGAGGAUUGCUAGAGCACCAAUGGAUCGUUCGCCAACCGCGCCGCGACGAAGAUCCCCUUCUCUAUUGCGAUCAAACGCACACGCAAAAGCUCGGCUCGCUGCCACCGCGGAGACUGCAAGCUCGCAUCUCAGGCGUUGCCGUGCUCUCCGGCCGUUUUCCCCGGCGAGCUUACGACGGAGCUUUCGAAAUCGAGCCGUGUGAGUUUGUGGCCUCGGUCCGACAAGAGCCGAUCGACCGGCCAUGGCGCGAACGCCAGUCGCCAGGUCGUUGUCCUGUGACGCCACAGAGAGCUUUGUAGCUCGUACCGAGCUUGCAGCCAUCGCCACUGCUGAUGGCGUAGAGUGGGAGGAGAGGAGGAUAGAUGGGAGCGGUGGGUGUUAUGACGUCACACAUGGUACACGCCACCGGUGGUCCAAAUACACGUGGAAGGGGUGUUUUAGAAACAAGAGAAGGGGUUGGAAUACGAGCACGAAGCUAUUCUUGGACGCUUCAAAACACUGUCCUCGCGGCCGCGUUGCGUAACUACGUGGGAGAGCUUUUCUGAAGGAGGUGUUCGCGAAAUGGCCAUUGUAAAAAAGAUGAGACGCACAAAAAGAGUAAGCGGAGCGGAAAGAGAGAUCAACGAAUAGAUUUUAUGUAAUUAAGGAGCUUAAAUUACAUGGAUAGAUUUCAUGCAAUUAAGGAGCUUAAUUAAAUAAAAAUGCGUAAAAAUGUAAUAUUGUGCACAUGAAAUUCGAUUCAAAUUAUACUUAAUGCAUUUAAAUGUCUUUUUUUCUUCUUUUAUAUAUAGUUCGCAUAUAAACGGGAUAAAUUACAAUAAUAAAAUUUUUUGUUAUUUUGGAGCCCUUCUGAAGAGAAAUUUCGAGGAACUGAUUGUGAGACAAUUUUCAUAAUCUACUUAUUUAUCCGAGAAUGAUAUAAAAAAAAUUUUAUAUAUAUAUAUAUAUAUAUAUAAAAUUGAUAGAUACGGUUUUUAGAAACUAUAAAACAAUUUUAUAAUUUAGGCUUGUCAAUCAGUAAAUUCUCUUAUGAAAGUGUAAUCGAUUUGUCAGGAACGUCUCUUUACCCUUGACAAGUUCGCUUCAAAUGCGAAAGGGUUAGCGUUAAUGAACGAGCGUUAUCAUAUCUGUGACAGGAUAAUUGAUACACGCUCGCUCUUACCUCUCUCUAUCUGCAGUUUUCGCAGUCCAAGUCCAUUAAUCGUCCUUUCAAUUUAGAUUUUAAUUUUUUCCCCGAGCUUACAGCGAUAUUCACGUGAUAUAUCAAAG